CCUACGGGAGGCAGCAGUGGGGAAUAUUGGACAAUGGGCGCAAGCCUGAUCCAGCCAUACCGCGUGGGUGAAGAAGGCCUUCGGGUUGUAAAGCCCUUUUGUUGGGAAAGCGGUACCCAAAGAAUAAGCACCGGCUAACUUCGUGCCAGCAGCCGCGGUAAUACGAAGGGUGCAAGCGUUACUCGGAAUUACUGGGCGUAAAGCGUGCGUAGGUGGUUGUUUAAGUCUGUUGUGAAAGCCCUGGGCUCAACCUGGGAAUUGCAGUGGAUACUGGGCAACUAGAGUGUGGUAGAGGGUAGUGGAAUUCCCGGUGUAGCAGUGAAAUGCGUAGAGAUCGGGAGGAACAUCCAUGGCGAAGGCAGCUACCUGGACCAAACUGACACUGAGGCACGAAAGCGUGGGGAGCAAACAGGAUUAGAUACCCUUGUAGUC
rnacentral:rRNA from 1 species